rnacentral:rRNA from 1 species
ACCGGCGCGACGGGUGAAGUAACACGUACUCAACCUGCCGAUGACUCGGGGAUAGCCUUUCGAAAGAAAGAUUAAUACCCGAUGGCAUAGUUCUUCCGCAUGGUAGAACUAUUAAAGAACUUCGGUCAUCGAUGGGGAUGCGUUCCAUUAGGUUGUUGGCGGGGUAACGGCCCACCAAGCCUUCGAUGGAUAGGGGGUUCUGAGAGGAAGGUCCCCCACAUUGGAACUGAGACACGGUCCAAACUCCUACGGGAGGCAGCAGUGAGGAAUAUUGGUCAAUGGGCGAGAGCCUGAACCAGCCAAGUAGCGUGAAGGAUGACUGCCCUAUGGGUUGUAAACUUCUUUUAUAAAGGAAUAAAGUCGGGUAUGGAUACCCGUUUGCAUGUACUUUAUGAAUAAGGAUCGGCUAACUCCGUG